rnacentral:rRNA from 1 species
AAUCAAACUUGGAGAUAGCUCGUACUCCCCGAAAUGCAUUUAGGUGCAGCCUUGAUAAUUACUAAUGUGAGGUAGAGCGACUGAUAAGAUGCGAGGGCUUCACCGCCUAUCAAGUCUUGAUAAACUCCGAAUGCGCAUUAGUUUGAUAUCAGGAGUGAGGGCAUGGGUGCUAAGGUCCGUGCCCGAGAGGAGAAGAAUCCAGACCAUCAGCUAAGGUCCCGAAAUAAUUGCUAAGUUGAACUAACGAAGUCAGAUUGCUAAGACAGCUAGGAUGUUGGCUUGGAAGCAGCCAUUCAUUUAAAGAGUGCGUAACAGCUCACUAGUCGAGGAGUUUGGCGUGGAUAAUAAUCGGGCAUAAGCAAUUUACCGAAGCUAUGGAACCAGUAAUGGUUGGUAGGGGAGCAUUCCACUCAGCGUUGAAUGUGGAGCGUGAGCUCUGCUGGAGCGUGUGGAAAAGCAAAUGUAGGUAUAAGUAACGAUAAAGGGGGUGAGAAACCCCCUCGCCGAAAGACUAAGGUUUCCUGAUCAACGCUAAUCGGAUCAGGGUUAGUCGGGUCCUAAGGCUCAGCCGAACGGCGAGGCCGAUGGCAGAAAGGGUUAAUAUUCCCUUACUACCUUAAAGAGUGAUGUGGAGACGGAGCAGUGACAAUACCGCCGGCUGACGGAAUAGCCGGUUGAAGGGUGUAGAUAUUAGUUUUCCAGGCAAAUCCGGAAGAUUAGUCGAACCUGAUAGUACCGAGAGCCCUUGUGGUGAUUGGAUAGUGUAUGUAAGCAUACUCCCAAGAAAAUCCGCUAAACUUAAUCUUUAAGGUACCCGUACCGUAAACGGACACACGUAGUCGGGUUGAAUAUACUAAGGCGCUUGAGUGAAUCACGGUUAAGGAACUAGGCAAAUUGACCCUGUAACUUCGGAAUAAAGGGUCCCUCAGUGAUGGGGGCGCAGAGAAUAGGUCCAGGCAACUGUUUAACAAAAACACAGGGCUAUGCAAAAUUGAAAGAUCAAGUAUAUAGCCUGACACCUGCCCGGUGCUGGAAGGUUAAGAGGAGAUGUCAUCGCAAGAGAAGCAUUGAAUUGAAGCCCCAGUAAACGGCGGCCGUAACUAUAACGGUCCUAAGGUAGCGAAAUUCCUUGUCGGGUAAGUUCCGACCUGCACGAAUGGUGUAACGAUCUGGGCACUGUCUCAACCGUGAGCUCGGUGAAAUUGUAGUAUCGGUGAAGAUGCCGAUUACCCGCGAUGGGACGAAAAGACCCCGUGAACCUUUACUAUAGCUUAACAUUGAAUUUGGGUAAUUGAUGUGUAGGAUAGGCCGGAGGCUUUGAAGCAGGUACGCCAGUAUUUGUGGAGCCGCUGUUGAAAUACGGCCCUUUGAUUAUUUGAGUUCUAACUCGCGAAUGUGAGGACACUGUUUGGUGGGUAGUUUGACUGGGGUGGUCGCCUCCAAAAGUGUAACGGAGGCUUCUAAAGGUACCCUCAGGCCGAUUGGUAACCGGUCGUAGAGUGUAAUGGCAUAAGGGUGCUUGACUGGGAGACAAACAAGUCGAUCAGGUAGGAAACUAGAGCAUAGUGAUCCGGUGGUUCCGCAUGGAAGGGCCAUCGCUCAAAGGAUAAAAGGUACUCCGGGGAUAACAGGCUGAUCGCUCCCAAGAGCUCAUAUCGACGGAGCGGUUUGGCACCUCGAUGUCGGCUCGUCACAUCCUGGGGCUGGAGAAGGUCCCAAGGGUUGGGCUGUUCGCCCAUUAAAGUGGCACGCGAGCUGGGUUCAGAACGUCGUGAGACAGUUCGGUCUCUAUCUAUCGUGGGCGUAUGAAAUUUGCGUGGCUCUGACACUAGUACGAGAGGACCGUGUUGGACUGACCGCUGGUUUACCGGUUGUGCCGCCAGGUGCAUUGCCGGGUAUCUAAGUCGGGAUUGGAUAAGUGCUGAAAGCAUCUAAGUACGAAGCCAGCCACAAGAUUAGAUUUCUUAGGGUCGUUGAAGACGACAACGUUGAUAGGCUGCAGGUGUAAAGACAGUAAUGUCAAAGCCGAGCAGUACUAAUUGCCCGUACACUUUCUU